rnacentral:rRNA from 1 species
UACGUAGGUGGCAAGCGUUGUCCGGAUUUAUUGGGUUUAAAGGGUGCGUAGGCGGCCUUAUAAGUCAGUGCUGAAAUAUCCCGGCUUAACCGGGAGGGUGGCAUUGAUACUGUAGGGCUUGAGUAAAGUUGAGGUUGGCGGAAUUGACGGUGUAGCGGUGAAAUGCUUAGAUAUCGUCAAGAACACCUAUUGCGAAGGCAGCUAACUAGGCUGUAACUGACGCUGAGGCACGAAAGCGUGGGGAGCGAACAGG